AACGAACGCUGGCGGCAUGCCUAACACAUGCAAGUCGAACGAGACCUUCGUGUCUAUUGGCGCACGGGGGCGGAACGCGUGGGAAUCUGCCCUUGGGUUCGGAAUAACAGUUGGAAACGACUGCUAAUACCGGAUGAUGACGUAAGUCCAAAGAUUUAUCGCCCCAGGAUGAGCCCGCGUAGGAUUAGCUAGUUGGUGAGGUAAAGGCUCACCAAGGCGAGGAUCCUUAGCUGGUCUGAGAGGAUGAUCAGCCACACUGGGACUGAGACACGGCCCAGACUCCUACGCGAGGGAGCAGUGGGGAAUAUUGGACACUGGGCGAAAGCCUGAUCCAGCAAUGCCGCGUGAGUGAUGAAGGCCUUAGGGUUGUAAAGCUCUUUUACCCGGGAUGAUAAUGACAGUACCGGGAGAAUAAGCUCCGGCUAACUACGUG
rnacentral:rRNA from 1 species